rnacentral:rRNA from 1 species
UUGAACGCUGGCGGCAGGCCUAACACAUGCAAGUCGAGCGGAUGAAGGGAGCUUGCUCCUGGAUUCAGCGGCGGACGGGUGAGUAAUGCCUAGGAAUCUGCCUGGUAGUGGGGGAUAACGUCCGGAAACGGGCGCUAAUACCGCAUACGUCCUGAGGGAGAAAGUGGGGGAUCUUCGGACCUCACGCUAUCAGAUGAGCCUAGGUCGGAUUAGCUAGUUGGUGGGGUAAAGGCCUACCAAGGCGACGAUCCGUGACUGGUCUGAGAGGAUGAUCAGUCACACUGGAACUGAGACACGGUCCAGACUCCUACGGGAGGCAGCAGUGGGGAAUAUUGGACAAUGGGCGAAAGCCUGAUCCAGCCAUGCCGCGUGUGUGAAGAAGGUCUUCGGAUUGUAAAGCACUUUAAGUUGGGAGGAAGGGCAGUAAGUUAAUACCUUGCUGUUUUGACGUUACCAACAGAAUAAGCACCGGCUAACUUCGUG